UUUCUACUCCCUCCGUCCGAAAAUACUUGUCAUCAAAAUGGACAAAAAGAGAUGUAUCUAAAACUAAAAUACGUCUAGAUACAUUUCCUUUUAUCCAUUUUGAUGACAAGUAUUUCCGGACGGAGGGAGUAUUUG
rnacentral:pre_miRNA from 1 species